rnacentral:pre_miRNA from 1 species
UGUGUACUCCCUCCGUCCGGAAAUACUUGUCAUCAAAAUGAAUAAAAGGGGAUGUAUCUAGAUGUAUUUUAGUUUUAGAUACAUCCCUUUUUGUCCAUUUUAAUGACAAGUAUUUCCGGACGGAGGGAGUAUGUA